UGUUCAUCUACUGUACUGAUUGGAAAAGGAGCAUUGCAAAUUUACAGACCAUUGUAAAAUUGUUUGCUUACAAUGAUAAAAGCUUCUUUCAGCUUACUCUAAAAUGUUUGUGAUUCUUCUCAUUUUUUCACCCAUGGAGGAUGUUGAGUGGUAACACUUUCUGAGACCCUGGGUGUUAAUUUUAAGAAUGCCUCAGAUGCAGUUGCAUGAGUAUUUAUUUCAGCAGCAGCAGUUCAGGCAGGGUCCUCUGUUCCUGCCCUUGUUCUGCCCUCUGUGAUCCCAUUGCAAAUGUUUGUACAACCAUGUGAGGAGAUGGAUUGCAAAAUAAUCCAUGUUUAAAAAAAAAAAAACCUUUAACAAAAAAAUGAGAGGAGUUUUCAUGUCCUGAUUUAAACCAGAUUAGCUCCUAGUCUGGUUCAUGUAAUAACAGGACUGAGCUGUACCAGCAGAACUGAGGGAGCAGCACAGGGCAGGGAUGAGAAGGAUGGAUGGGGAUGCUCGUUCCAACAGUGAUGCCUGAGGACCACAUCCAGGUGCUUGUGCUCAUCUUGGGAUGGCAGUGCCCCAGAGCUUGUGUCACCACAGGCACUGAGGAGAACUGACAAGGACAAGAGACUUCCCUUCUCCCUGGAAACAGGCAACUCCCCAGGGACACAAGUGAAAACAUGGAGAAUUCUACAAGAUCCCAUUUCCUUCCUGGUGAGGCCAAUAGUGACCUGCUGCUUUACAAACCAACAUAUUUUGUCUUGAGAAAGGAAACAGGCACUUUCAUGGAUGUGGCCACUGAGCUCAGUGGGAGCCUAGAUGUGCAUCACCUUUAUUUUGAAAGAUAAUGUCAAGCAUGCAAUCAUGAGUCACACAGCGGGACAAUACGUGCUUCGGGUGUGGAAGACUAGAAUUCAAAAUAUCAUGUUGGUGACCUUGAAAACUCCCAAACAUGAAA